GCCUCGCCUUUCACCCUCAUGCUCUCGCCCUCACCUUUACCCUCACUCGCGCACCCCCUACCUUCCUCGCCUUCUCACUCGCGCACCCCCUGCCUUCCUCGCCUUCGACCCCACCGAGGCCGCGCCGCGACUCUUUUUUUUUUUUUUUUCCCCUCUCCGACUCUCAUCCACCGUCUCCGACAACGACGUCUCUCUCGCCCUUCCCCGCCUUUCUUGUCCUCUCCCUCUCCUUCCUCCUCUGCCGCCUCCAACGACAAUGCAUCUUCGC
rnacentral:lncRNA from 1 species